UUGGACGGCCGUCCGGAAACUUUCUGCCGUUCGGCUUCGCGGCUGUAAUGUGCAUAUGUACAUCAUAGAUUAAAGAUUUCCUACUUUUUGUAUGACGGCUUCAAGCCCAAGUGAUACAUCUCUUUGGCGAUUUCACCUCAAGCAGCGUCUUGGUUGCUCUGUAGGACCAAUGGAUGUGAUGGCCGGAAUGCUUCCUGACCUAGCAUAGUUGAUUCACUGCC